UUUCAUGUUUAAAAUGAUUUUUUUCAAUAGUGACAUGACAUUUUUUCUCCCUCACAAAACAAUACCCUCGUGUGGCUGUUAUCAUUUUGUAAUCAAUUACUAUUAGCACCUCCCAUGGCUGUGGUAUAGCAUAGCUUAGUACACCUCUACUCGAGUCCUUCAAAAUGACAAUGCAAUCGCAACUUCUGGUGGGACCCAUCUCCAUCGCUUCCCAUGCUACCGCCGUUGAUUCUACUUACCUCUCCGCCGCCCCUCGCCGCCGUAGACAUCUACUAAUCUCAGCGUCCUCCUCUUCAGCUCCGGCAUUCAACGGCGGUGGCGACCACUACACCGUACUCAGUUGAUUCUACUUACCUCUCCGCCGCCCCUCGCCGCCGUAGACAUCUACUAAUCUCAGCGUCCUCCUCUUCAGCUCCGGCAUUCAACGGCGGUGGCGACCACUACACCGUACUCGG
rnacentral:lncRNA from 1 species